rnacentral:rRNA from 1 species
GCAGAGAUCGGGAAGAACACCAAUGCCGAAGCCAGCUCCUUGGGGCAUACCGGACGCUAAGAGACGAAAGCUACGCGGGAGCGAACAGGAUUAGAGACCACUGGUAGUCCUAGCCCUAAACGUAUGGAUGCUGGAUGUGGGGCCAUAGCGCUCCGUGUCGAAGCGAACGCGUUAAGCAUCCCGCACUGGGGACUACGGCCGCAAGGUUAGAACUCAAACGAAUUGACGGGACCCCGCAGCAAGCAGCGGAGCGAUCUGGACUGAACUCGAUGCUACACGAAGAACCUUACACUGGGUACGACAUCCUAGGUGGUAGCGAAGUGUAACCGGAGCGACCCUUCGGGGAGCCUAGACAGGUGCUGCAUGGCUGUCGUCAGCUCGUACCGUGAGUUGUCGGGUUAAGUGCCGUAACGAGCGCAACCCUUGCCCUCCGUUAUACGUGUCAGAGGGGACUCCCGCCGGUAAGCCGGAGGAAGAUGGGGAUGACGUCAAGUCAGCAUGGCCCUUAUAUCCAGGGCUUACACACACGCGACAAUGGCCAGUACAAAGGGCAACGAAACCGCGCGGUGGAGCGAAUCCCAGCAAAGCUGGUCGUAGUU